UACGUAGGUGGCAAGCGUUGUCCGGAAUUACUGGGUGUAAAGGGUGCGUAGGCGGGUAUACAAGUCAGGUGUGAAAUUCCGAGGCUCAACUUCGGAACUGCAUUUGAAACUGUAUAUCUUGAGUGAAGGAGAGGUAAGCGGAAUUCCCAGUGUAGCGGUGAAAUGCGUAGAUAUUGGGGGGAACACCAGUGGCGAAGGCGGCUUACUGGACUUUAACUGACGCUGAAGCACGAAAGCGUGGGUAGCAAACAGGAUUAGAUACCCUGGUAGUCCACGCUGUAAACGAUGGAUACUAGGUGUGGGAGGUAUCGACUCCUUCCGUGCCGCAGUUAACACAAUAAGUAUCCCACCUGGGGAGUACGGCCGCAAGGUUGAA
rnacentral:rRNA from 1 species